rnacentral:lncRNA from 1 species
AUGGUGACAAGAGCACGGGGCGGCAGCAUCUCUUCACUCCAAGGGCAGGAGCUCAAAGACAGGGCUGUUGCGGGUGCGGAAGACGGCGACGAUGGCCUGGCUCCCGGGAUCAUCGGGAUGUCCUGGAGGAGGGAAAGGGAAGGAGCAGUGAGGAUUCCCCUGGUCCGAGGGACCGCACCGGGACACAGGUGGGUCCCCCAACACCGGACGGGGGGGUGGAGGGGGCAAAGCUGGCUGCGGAUGGCGUUUUCCUCCCCUCAAGAUGGGGCUUUCAAAGACCCUUCAGUGAUUUUAAAGCCGGCUCCAAGCUCUUGGGGGUUUUGGCCAAGAAGGGUUUGUAGAAGAGAUGAGGCAUCUCCUUUGGAACCCCCCCGCAGUGUGACAUGGGGGGUCCUUUGGAACCCCCCCAGCCUAUAAGACAUGACGUGGGGGUCCCACGCUCUGAAGUGAAGGUUGGUGGGGGUUUUUUUCCAUCCCAUCCCAAUUUCUGCACCAAAAUCCUCACAGGACCUCCCUGGAGGCGCAGAGGAUGGGGCCAGGGGGGGCAGCUACGGGAGUCCUGGUACCCCCAGGCUCUCCCCCCAUCCAGUUUCUUCCCCACCCAACUUUAAGCAUAGCAAAAAAACCCUAGCUUUGGCCCAGUGGCUUCAGCUCUGUCCCCACUGGUGAUAAGGCCGGGGGACACCAAGGCAGCAGCACCCCCAGCACUGUAUUUUGCUGCUCCCUCCAAGGUCUGCUUUGUCCGGGAGAGCCCGAAUGGCUCCAUUAUCCCGGGAGUUGCUCCUAAAAAACACGGAGCCAAGAGGCCCAGUUGGGCUUCCAGGCACAAUGUGGGGUGGGAAAGGCGAUUCAUCCCACUGGGAAUGGGGAGGGAACUGGGACACAUCCCAGUACAGGGGAGUGGAGUCCUGGUGAGGAAGGAUGGAAGGUGGGUGCUGCCUUCCCUGUCCCAAGUUGGGUCCCCCAGGGAUUGAAUUUGUGUUUAAUAUCCUUAUAAACGAUCUGGGUGGUGGGAUCCAGUUUGUCCUGGUGACAUUUGCUGGUGGCACCAAACCUUACUGGGGGAGUGGGCCCUUGGGGGAGGGCGACCACCCUGGAUGGGGCUGGAAGAGUUGGGUAACAAGAACCUUGUGAGGUUCAACAAGGACAAAAGCAAGGUCUUGCAUCUUGGAAAAGCAAAUCCUGGAGCUCAGAAGAGGCUGGGAUCUGCUCCAUGGAAAGGGAUUUAGGGGUCCUGGUGACAAUGAGCUCGAUGUGGCUGAGCCCUGUGGUGAAAAAAACCCCAGUAGGACACUGGGCUGCAUCACCGAGGAGAAAAAGAACCUACGUGGUGCUGGUCAGACCCCACCUGGAAUAACAUGUUCCAUUUUGGUCCUCACUGUACAAAAAAAGAAGCCAUGGCCAGGCUGGAGAGGGG